rnacentral:rRNA from 1 species
GACGAACGCUGGCGGCGUGCCUAAUACAUGCAAGUUGAGCGAUGAAGAUUGGUGCUUGCACCAAUUUGAAGAGCAGCGAACGGGUGAGUAACGCGUGGGGAAUCUGCCUUUGAGCGGGGGACAACAUUUGGAAACGAAUGCUAAUACCGCAUAACAACUUUAAACAUAAGUUUUAAGUUUGAAAGAUGCAAUUGCAUCACUCAAAGAUGAUCCCGCGUUGUAUUAGCUAGUUGGUGAGGUAAAGGCUCACCAAGGCGAUGAUACAUAGCCGACCUGAGAGGGUGAUCGGCCACAUUGGGACUGAGACAAGGCCCAAACUCCUACGGGAGGCAGCAGUAGGGAAUCUUCGGCAAUGGACGAAAGUCUGACCGAGCAACGCCGCGUGAGUGAAGAAGGUUUUCGGAUCGUAAAACUCUGUUGGUAGAGAAGAACGUUGGUGAGAGUGGAAAGCUCAUCAAGUGACGGUAACUACCCAGAAAGGGACGGCUAACUACGGG